rnacentral:rRNA from 1 species
GGCCGUAGGUGAACCUGCGGAAGGAUCAUUG